rnacentral:rRNA from 1 species
AGUAACGCGUGGGUAACCUGCCUCACACAGGGGGAGUAGCAGUUGGAAACGGCUGAUAAUACCGCAUAAGCGCACAGCUUCGCAUGAAGCAGUGUGAAAAACUCCGGUGGUACAAGAUGGACCCGCGUCUGAUUAGCUGGUUGGUGAGGUAACGGCCCACCAAGGCGACGAUCAGUAGCCGGCCUGAGAGGGUGAACAGCCACAUUGGGACUGAGACACGGCCCAA